UACGGGGGGGGCAAGCGUUGUUCGGAAUUACUGGGCGUAAAGGGCUCGUAGGUGGCCAACUAAGUCAGACGUGAAAUCCCUCAGCUUAACUGGGGAACUGCGUCUGAUACUGGCGAGCUUGAGUGCAGGAGAGGAACGCGGAAUUCCAGGUGUAGCGGUGAAAUGCGUAGAUAUCUGGAGGAACACCGGUGGCGAAGGCGGCAUCCUGGACCGGUAUUGACGCUGAGGCGCGAAAGCUAGGGGAGCAAACGGG
rnacentral:rRNA from 1 species